AUACGUAGGGGGCGAGCGUUGUCCGGAAUGAUUGGGCGUAAAGGGCGCGUAGGCGGCCCGGUAAGUCUGGAGUGAAAGUCCUGUUUUUAAGAUGGGAAUUGCUUUGGAUACUGUCGGGCUUGAGUGCAGGAGAGGUAAGUGGGAUUCCCAGUGUAGCGGUGAAAUGCGUAGAGAUUGGGAGGAACACCAGUGGCGAAGGCGACUUACUGGACUGUAACUGACGCUGAGGCGCGAAAGUGUGGGGAGCAAACAGGAUUAGAUACCCUGGUAGUCCACACUGUAAACGAUGAAUGCUAGGUGUAGGGGGUAUCGACCCCUUCUGUGCCGCAGUCAACACAAUAAGCAUUCCGCCUGGGGAGUACGGCCGCAAGGUUGAAACUCAAAGGAAUUGACGG
rnacentral:rRNA from 1 species